UAAACUCCUAGGGGCAAACUCUAAACAGCAAUUAAUGACACUUCUAGAGUUUUUUGAGCAAGGUUUGUAGAAUCGGAAUUGUAACCCGUGUCCAUUGGCUAGUGGUACGAGUCAGUACAGAUCCGAAUCAGAUCAAUCCGGCAUGAACCGACACAGAAGAGAAGGAAAAAAAUCUGAGAGGAGAAUAAGAGAGAGAGGAAAGGAGGGAGGAGGAGAAAGAAAGAAGGAU
rnacentral:lncRNA from 1 species